AUCAACCCUGUGACAUACCUAAAACGUUGCUUCGGCGGGAACAGACGGCCCCGUAACACGGGCCGCCCCCGCCAGAGGACCCCCUAACUCUGUUUCUAUUAUGUUUCUUCUGAGUAAAACAAGCAAAUAAAUUAAAACUUUCAACAACGGAUCUCUUGGCUCUGGCAUCGAUGAAGAACGCAGCGAAAUGCGAUAAGUAAUGUGAAUUGCAGAAUUCAGUGAAUCAUCGAAUCUUUGAACGCACAUUGCGCCCGCCAGUAUUCUGGCGGGCAUGCCUGUUCGAGCGUCAUUACAACCCUCAGGCCCCCGGGCCUGGCGUUGGGGAUCGGCGAGGCGCCCCCUGCGGGCACACGCCGUCCCCCAAAUACAGUGGCGGUCCCGCCGCAGCUUCCAUUGCGUAGUAGCUAACACCUCGCAACUGGAGAGCGGCGCGGCCACGCCGUAAAACACCCAACUUCUGAAUGUUGACCUCGAAUCAGGUAGGAAUACCCGCUGAACUUAAGCAUAUCAAA
rnacentral:rRNA from 1 species